AUUGAACGCUGGCGGCAGGCCUAACACAUGCAAGUCGAGCGAGCGACGGACGGGUGCGUACUGUAUGGUGAAUGCCCGAUAGAGAGGGAUAACUACUGGAAACGGUAGCUAAUCCCGCAUACUAUCGGCUAACCCAGAUGGGAGUAGCUAGUGGGUGAGGUAAUGGCUCACCUAGGCGACGAUCCCUAGCUGGCCUGAGAGGGUGAUCAGCCACACUGGGACUGAGACACGGCCCAGACUCCUACGGAGGCAGCAGUGGGGAAUAUUGCACAAUGGGCGAAAGCCUGAUGCAGCCAUGCCGCGUGUAUGAAGAAGGCCCUAGGGUUGUAAAGUACUUUCAGUAGGGAGGCGUUACCGACAGAAGAAGCACCGGCUAACUCCGUGCCAGCAGCCGCGGUAAUUC
rnacentral:rRNA from 1 species